GGGUGUAUAGCUCAGUGGUAGAGCAUUCGACUGCAGUUUGGAAGGUCCCCGGAUCAAACCCGGGUGUCCA
rnacentral:tRNA from 1 species